rnacentral:rRNA from 1 species
CGCUCUUUGUAAACUGAACAUAGAGAGUCGGGCCUGCCCAGUGACGAGAGUGUUAAACGGCCGCGGUACCCUGACCGUGCAAAGGUAGCAUAAUCAUUUGCCUUUUAAUUGGAGGCUUGUAUGAAUGGUUUGACGAGAGCUAAGCUGUCUCUUUCUAAAUUUUUAGAAAUUAAUUUCUAGAUGAAGAAGUCUAGAUUUAAUUGAGGGACAAGAAGACCCUAUUGAGCUUGAGUGAAAUAAUAAAUUUUUUAAAUUUUAUUUUUUAAAGUAAGAUUUCUAUGUUUCGUGAUAGCGAAAAUUAAAUUUAUGGAUAAUCUUUAGUUGGGGCGACUCAGGAACAAUUAAAGCUUCCUUGUAUUUUUAUGGGCAUUCUAGCUAAAUUAGGAUCCAGCAAAUUGCUGAUUAACGGAAAAAGUUACCAUAGGGAUAACAGCGUAAUCUUUCUGGAGAGCUCUUAUCGAAAGAAGGGUUUGCGACCUCGAUGUUGGACUAAGAUAUCCUGGGGGUGGAGAGGCUUCCAAGGUUGGUCUGUUCGACCAUUAAAAUCUU